rnacentral:rRNA from 1 species
UACGGGGGGAGCAAGCGUUGUUCGGAUUUACUGGGCGUAAAGGGCGCGUAGGCGGCGUGGUAAGUCACUUGUGAAAUCUCCGAGCUUAACUCGGAACGGUCAAGUGAUACUGCUGUGCUAGAGUGCGGAAGGGGCAACUGGAAUUCUCGGUGUAGCGGUGAAAUUCGUAGAUAUCGGGAGGAACACCAGUGGCGAAGGCGGCGAUCUGGGAAGAUACUGACGCUGAGGUGCGAAAGCGUGGGGAGCAAACAGG